GUUAUUUUAUAAGAACACGGACGGCAUUUUCUACCAGAAAGAAUGAUUUAACCGAAAAAUCGCGAGAUACCUUUUUUAUUGCCUUUUUGAUUUAAUUUCUCUCGGUAUUAUCGUUAAAACUUUAGAGCCACUUUUGAGUCUUUAUGGAAUUUUAAUUUUUGAGAGUUUUUUGCUAUAAUUCGGUUAUAAAUACACGUAAAAACUUGAAACUUCUGUUAUAUUGAAAUUUCCUAGCCGUGGUAAAAUUUCAAAAAUCAUCGGACGACUUUUUUUUCCUUUUUUAAUAAUAGUUUUGCAAUCACAUUUAAACGAAAAUCACA